GACAAGACCUAAAUGUGAAAGGGGAGAUAACCACGUAAUAAGGCCUGUGUACCCUUACUGACAGAAGAGUUAAGGAAUGGCGGAGAAGGACAGGGGAAAAAUGCGACAAGAAGAUUAUGAUAUUGUUCGGAAAUUUCAUUCAGAUAUAAUACGAGAACUGGAUCCUAAAUUUAUUCUGGAUAGGCUUUUUUCCUCAUUUUUAUUUGAUUAUGAUGACUUGGAACAAGUUCGUAUCGAACUUGAAAAAAAUGGACGUAAAGCGGGUGCACAAAAGAUUAUGGAUAUUUUAUACUUUUCAGGCGCGGACGCUUUUCCUAAGUUCUUGGAAAGUUUGAAUAGAGCGGGGUACGCUCAGUUAGUUACACGUCUUGAGAAAGGAACCCAGGAAGCAAACAAAGAGCGUGGAUUGACCGAAUGAUAUAUGAAAUGAACAUGUAAAUACAAAAACUAUAAACUCUAGGCCUUAAACCUAUCUGGUUAUCAGAAGGUAGAUGUAAUACCCAGUGUACACUGUGUAAUACCCAGUAGAACAGGUGUAAUACCAACCAUACCCGGUGUAAUACCCAGUAGAACAGGUGUAAUACCAAUCAUACCCGGUGUAAAACCCAGUAGACCAGGUGUAAUACCAACCAUACCCAGUGUAAUGCCCAGUAGACCAGGCGUAAUACCAACCAUACCCGGUGUAAUACCCAGUAUACACUGUGUGAUACCCAGUAGACCAGGUGUAAUACCAACCAUACCCGGUGUAAUACCCAGUAUACCAGGUGUAACAUCCACUAUACCCGAUAUAAUACCCAGCAGACCAGGUGUAAUAUCCAGCAGAAUAGGUGUAAUACCCAGCAGGUGUAAUUCCCAGUAGACCAGGUGUAAUACCUAGUAGACAAGCCAGUAUGCCAUGAAUAUAGUAUGCAGCCGGGUAAAAUACGCAGAAAUAAUAAUAUGUGUCUAGGCAAUCAGUUUUUAAAAACAAUGUGAUAAAAUUUAUCUAUAUCAAUGUACUAUACAACACAAUAAAUUUCCUAUAAAAACUA